rnacentral:lncRNA from 1 species
UUGAACCGAGCACACAAAAUUAGGGACAUUUUUAAAAAAGAAAGGUGCACAUUAGAAUAAUGUAAAUAUCGUAAUCAGACAUUGUGAGCUAAGGUCAUUGCUUCAAAAUCUUCAUAGGACAGGCCAAAAAUAGGCAUUUUCGACGAGAGAUGACAUGUGCUCGAGGGAUCUUGGCUUUUUAGUGUGUUCAACACAUUCAUCGUCCCAUAAGCUCCACCGGUACCGAUGCUGCCACUAAAGGGGUUGCUGUCAGGGUCACUAUAGGGGUCAGGGGUGUGCAUGCUGAUUGGUCAAGUUCGAAUUAUCCGGCGAAGGCCAAUUUUAGGAUCAGAAUAACGAAAGUUUGGGCCCAUAGAAAUGGAUGGGCGCUGGCCAGGACCUUCGGUUGGGAUUGAAUUAACUGAAAAAUCAAAUAAACCCGAGUCAAAUUAACAGAAGUCUACUGUUUAAUUAUUAAAAUUGUG